rnacentral:rRNA from 1 species
AGACGUCUACAUUAGACUACCCCUGUACGUCCCAGCCCUAAACGAUGCGCGUUAGGUGUAUCGGUGACCACGAGUCACCGAGGUGCCGAAGGGAAACCGUGAAACGUGCCGCCGUGGGAAGUACGGUCGCAAGGCUAGAAACUUAAAGGAAUUGGCGGGGGAGCACCACAACGGGUGGAGCCUGCGGUUUAAUUGGACUCAACGCCGGGAAGCUCACCGGAUAAGACAGCGGAAUGAUUGCCGGGCUGAAGACCCUGCAUGACCAGCUG